CGCAGAGUCCUGUCCAGAGUUCUGCACACCAAGACUGUGUAAAUGAAUGGAAUUGCAUCUGGGAGCUCGAGGCACCCAUGCAAACCUGUGCUGCCAGUGACUUCCACCAGAGGGCAGCGGCAGCAGGACCGAACCCAAUGGAGGAGGACCGCUCCCCAUUCCACAUGUUGGGGAAAUGAAGACAAGCAAGGAUGCAGGAAGUGGAGGGCCAGGAGAGGUGGACCUGGGAUGGGACCAAUUGAGGCAGGGCCAGGAUUUGGAACCAAACCCCUUCUGGAUUUGACCACUUCCAGGGCCCUGCUUGGACAACCAAAUUAUCUAUUCCUUUUCUCAUUCAAGAAACAUUUAU
rnacentral:lncRNA from 1 species